GGGAGCAAUCCUGGCGGCGAGUGGCGAACGGGUGAGUAAUACAUCGGAACGUGCCCAAUCGUGGGGGAUAACGCAGCGAAAGCUGUGCUAAUACCGCAUACGAUCUACGGAUGAAAGCAGGGGACCGCAAGGCCUUGCGCGAAUGGAGCGGCCGAUGGCAGAUUAGGUAGUUGGUGGGGUAAAGGCUCACCAAGCCAACGAUCUGUAGCUGGUCUGAGAGGACGACCAGCCACACUGGGACUGAGACACGGCCCAGACUCCUACGGGAGGCAGCAGUGGGGAAUUUUGGACAAUGGGCGCAAGCCUGAUCCAGCCAUGCCGCGUGCAGGAUGAAGGCCUUCGGGUUGUAAACUGCUUUUGUACGGAACGAAAAGGUUCUUUCUAAUAAAGAGAGCUCAUGACGGUACCGUAAGAAUAAGCACCGGCUAACUACGUGCCAGCAGCCGCGGUAAUACGUAGGGUGCAAGCGUUAAUCGGAAUUACUGGGCGUAAAGCGUGCGCAGGCGGUGAUGUAAGACAGUUGUGAAAUCCCCGGGCUCAACCUGGGAACUGCAUCUGUGACUGCAUCGCUGGAGUGCGGCAGAGGGGGAUGGAAUUCCGCGUGUAGCAGUGAAAUGCGUAGAUAUGCGGAGGAACA
rnacentral:rRNA from 1 species